AUUGAACGCUAGCGGCAGGCUUUACACAUGCAAGUCGAACGAGUGGCGGACGGGUGAGUAAUAUCUCGGAACGUGCCCAGUAGCGGGGGAUAACUACUGGAAAGGGUGGCUAAUACCGCAUACAAUUAGAGGUGCCGAGAUCGGAUUAGCUAGUUGGUGGGGUAAAGGCUCACCAAGGCAACGAUCCCUAGCUGGUCUGAGAGGACGACCAGCCACACUGGGACUGAGACACGGUCCAGACUCCUACGGGAGGCAGCAGUGGGGAAUAUUGGACAAUGGGGGAAACCCUGAUCCAGCCAUCCCGCGUGUAUGAGAAGGCCUUCGGGUUGUAAAGUACUUUUGGCAGAGAGGCGGUAUCUGCAGAAUAAGCACCGGCUAACUACGUGCCAGCAGCCGCGGUAAUUC
rnacentral:rRNA from 1 species